rnacentral:rRNA from 1 species
CUUGUAGGCGGUUCGGCAAGUCGGAUGUGAAAUCUCCACGCUCAACGUGGAGGGGCCAUUCGAAACUGCCGUGACUCGAGUCCGGUAGGGGAGUGUGGAAUUCCCGGUGUAGCGGUGAAAUGCGCAGAUAUCGGGAGGAACACCAGUAGCGAAGGCGGCACUCUGGGCCGGUACUGACGCUGAGGAGCGAAAGCGUGGGGAGCGAACA